rfam:Solanum tuberosum cultivar DM 1-3 516 R44 scf00224_73, whole genome shotgun sequence.
AAUUCCAGAAAAGCGACGGACAGUGUCCUUUAGUUCGUCACUUUUCUGGGAUUUU